CGAUGAUCCCCAGCUUGCUGGGGGGAUUAGUGGCGAACGGGUGAGUAACACGUGAGUAACCUGCCCUUGACUCUGGGAUAAGCCUGGGAAACUGGGUCUAAUACCGGAUAUGACCUUCCAUCGCAUGGUGGUUGGUGGAAAGCUUUUGUGGUUUUGGAUGGACUCGCGGCCUAUCAGCUUGUUGGUGGGGUAAUGGCCUACCAAGGCGACGACGGGUAGCCGGCCUGAGAGGGUGACCGGCCACACUGGGACUGAGACACGGCCCAGACUCCUACGGGAGGCAGCAGUGGGGAAUAUUGCACAAUGGGCGCAAGCCUGAUGCAGCGACGCCGCGUGAGGGAUGACGGCCUUCGGGUUGUAAACCUCUUUCAGUAGGGAAGAAGCCGCAAGGUGACGGUACCUGCAGAAGAAGCGCCGGCUAACUACGUGCCAGCAGCCGCGGUAAUACGUAGGGCGCAAGCGUUAUCCGGAAUUAUUGGGCGUAAAGAGCUCGUAGGCGGUUUGUCGCGUCUGCCGUGAAAGUCCGGGGCUCAACUCCGGAUCUGCGGUGGGUACGGGCAGACUAGAGUGAUGUAGGGGAGACUGGAAUUCCUGGUGUAGCGGUGAAAUGCGCAGAUAUCAGGAGGAACACCGAUGGCGAAGGCAGGUCUCUGGGCAUUAACUGACGCUGAGGAGCGAAAGCAUGGGGAGCGAACAGGAUUAGAUACCCUGGUAGUCCAUGCCGUAAACGUUGGGCACUAGGUGUGGGGGACAUUCCACGUUUUCCGCGCCGUAGCUAACGCAUUAAGUGCCCCGCCUGGGGAGUAC
rnacentral:rRNA from 1 species